rnacentral:rRNA from 1 species
GACGAACGCUGGCGGCGUGCUUAACACAUGCAAGUCGAACGAUGAAGCCGGAGCUUGCUCUGGUGAAUUAGUGGCGAACGGGUGAGUAACACGUGAGUAACCUGCCCUUGACUCUGGGAUAACUGCGGGAAACUGUAGCUAAUACCGGAUACGACCCUCGGAGGCAUCUCCUGGGGGUGGAAAGAAUUUCGGUCAAGGAUGGACUCGCGGCCUAUCAGCUAGUUGGUGAGGUAAAGGCUCACCAAGGCGACGACGGGUAGCCGGCCUGAGAGGGUGACCGGCCGCACUGGGACUGAGACACGGGCCAGACUCCUACGGGAGGCAGCAGUGGGGAAUAUUGCACAAUGGGCGCAAGCCUGAUGCAGCAACGCCGCGUGAGGGAUGACGGCCUCCGGGUUGUAAACCUCUUUUAGCAGGGAAGAAGCGAAAGUGACGGUACCUGCAGAAAAAGCACCGGCUAACUACGUGCCAGCAGCCGCCGUAA